UCCAUUACAAACAAAAAAUCAAAUCCUCCAUUCAAGCAAAGAAUUGUUCAAUUGGAAAUCAUAAUAACUAUAUUAUUGUGAUGAAUUAAAUUUGGGAGAAUUGAGUGUGUGGAUUAUAUGUGGGUCGACAUCAUCAACAGAAAAAUGAAGAACAAUUUGUAAUUUCUAACCUUAAUUCUAACCCUUUUCUUCAAGAUUGAAAGCUUGUAAUUUGCGUUCUUGUGGUCAUCAUGAUUUUGAUUGUGGUCGCGGAGGAGGUUGUCCCGGAAGUUGGAAACAAGAUUAUGUGCUUUGAAGAUUUAUGUUGAUUAGGAAAUGUGGAAAUGUUGACCUUUGCGGUAAAAGUUGGUUUGUGGCUAGAACUCACAGUAACUCCUUUGGACUAAUGGCUCUUGGUACAUUUGAAGUAUUUUUGUUGUAGAGAAAAGUCGUGGUUGCUAUCUACUCUAAUGAGGUUGUUGGUCGCGGUUUCUUAUGUGCGCCCCGGGCUCAUGGUGCAUGGUAGAAUAUCUACAAGGUUAGCUAGUUGUUGCUAAAACGAUACGUUGAUCUUUUGUUUUAUAUGGUUUGAGCUUCUAUUGUGGAUCAAACCUCACAUGUUUGUUGGGUUUGAGAAGGUGGUGGUAGUGAGCAGAAAUUUUUUGUUGCCUCUUAUAAACGGUUGUUGAAAAAUUUUGAAUGCUCAUGACUGGUAUAAGUUUAGAUUGUGCAAAUGGUUGUCGAAAAAAGUAAAUGUCAUUGGAUGGCGAAUUGAGAUGGAUAGGCUUCCGAGUUAGGAGAACCUGCGUAAAAGAAAUGUGGUGUUGCCGUGUUAUUUCUGUUCCGUUUGAAAUGUACAACUUGAAACGACUUAUAUCUCUCUUCACUUCGUGUUCUGUUGCGUGGGAUGUUUGGGAAAGAGUGGCGAACUGGUGUAAGGUCAUUUAUGCUUUCGCCACUGAAACCUUCUUAAACUUAAUCUUUCUAACUUGGGUGCUAUUGGCAAGAAGAUGCUUCAUGCUAUUGUGAUUCUCGCUUGUGGUGCACCUAGGUUGCAAGGAAUGAGAUGGUAUUACAUGCUAUUAUGAUUCUCGCUUGGUGCUAUCUGUCACUUGGUUUUUAUGGAUCACAAGAGUAGGGCGAAAAUGAGCAUAGGCGAGUUGAAGUAGUUUUUCUUUUUUGUUAUUAUUGUUGCGUUUUGUUGUAAAACUCUGUAACAGUACCAUAUGUAGCAUUCUGUGUUUACAUUUGAAUAUCUCAAUUUCUUUUUAAA